UACGUAGGGGGCAAGCGUUGUCCGGAUUUAUUGGGCGUAAAGAGCUCGUAGGCGGUUUGUUGCGUCGGCCGUGAAAACUUGGGGCUUAACCCCGAGCUUGCGGUCGAUACGGGCAGACUUGAGUUCGGCAGGGGAGACUGGAAUUCCUGGUGUAGCGGUGAAAUGCGCAGAUAUCAGGAGGAACACCGGUGGCGAAGGCGGGUCUCUGGGCCGAUACUGACGCUGAGGAGCGAAAGCGUGGGGAGCGAACAGG
rnacentral:rRNA from 1 species